ensembl:lncRNA
GCGGCAGCCAGCCGGCCGAAGGAAACCUGUCACCGCUUCGCAAGGGUUGCAAAGGCGGGCGCAGAACAUAGGCAACGGGGAUGCCGCAGACGCUUUGGGUGCCAGUCACCUCCUGCACCUUGGAUCGCCUCCCACUGACCUCCUUUCCGAUAUGGAGCUGCAGGUACUGCCAGGCACACAGACAUCACUGUGGGCACAGAACAGGACCGGACGCUGCCCCGUGGUGACUGCUGCAGCCUCCACCAGGAUCCUGCAGUAAGAAGGUCCCCAAAAGAAGCCUGAAAUCCUACCCUGCUCUGAAUGAGAAUUGCCUAACAUCAGAUAACUGUUGGAGCCAGGAAAAGAGUAGUGCUGGAUCAGCCCAACAGAGGGCAAUGGGAUACAUUGACUUGAGACAGCUCCACACACUGUGGAAGAUGCUAAAGCUGGUCCCAGACCAGUCAGUCAGAAUCCCCCCACCAGUUGCAACAGCCCUGACUCUACUGUGCACAGAUUGCCUGACACAGUGUAAGAAGGAAGGAACAAAAAGCAGGGGUGAGCGAGAAAAAAGUGCGAUGCUUCCUGGAGUGCUCACAUAGUUGAAUGUUGGCUCCUGUGCUUUGCAAAGGUGGUUUUAUUUUUUAUAAUUUUUUAUUUAUUGCCUGCAUUUGUUCUGAGAUCUGCA